GGUUGGAGUGCGUCCAGGAUGCUGGGUGCCUUCGUUGGCUGUACCUGGGCUAGAAUAGAAUAGUCUCUUCUUGCUAAGCUCGCAGAUUUCUUCUGCCUGCAGUAGUCAGACGAGCGUUUCCUGAAAUAAAGUGGCAUUAUGGUGGUCCUUUCUAGGCAUUUAGGAGAUGCUGCAAAAUUCUAUGGCCUCUACUUGAUGCCCUGAUAAUGCCCUCCCCAACAUUGCCUCUGCUAAGAGAUUGCUUGGAUGGCUUGGUUUUAAAUUUUUAAAUGAUACAUUGAACCAUUUGACCAGAAAAAAAAAAAAAGGAUACAUAACUGAAGGUCCUUAAUGCAGUAUUUAAAAAAUAUUAAAAAGUUGGGCCAAGAAAUUGAUACGAAAUGCAAACAGGUCACGGUGGGAUGUUCUAGUCAUAAUAUAGCCAGUUUUUCUAGGCACAGAAGGCUUCUAAGGCUCCCGGGGAUUUGACAGGCACAGUGGAUGGCAGACGUUCUUGGAAGAAUGGGUUCUUGACAAGAUAGGUUGGCAGCCUCGAUGGUUUGUUCUGGAUAAUGGAAUCCUGUCCUACUAUGACUCACAGGACGAUGUCUGCAAAGGGAGCAAAGGGAGUAUAAAGAUGGCG
rnacentral:lncRNA from 1 species